AAGCUGGACACCGAAGCGGCGGGAUUUUAAUUCAUUAGAAUCGGUAGGGGAGCUUCCCAUGGGCGGAGAAGCCGGAGGGCGACCGACGGUGGAGCGCAUGGGAGUGAGAAUGCUGGCAUGAGUAGCGAGAGACGAGAGAGUAACUCGUCCGCCGUGAACCCGAGGUUUCCUGGGCAAGGCUAAUCCUCCCAGGGUCAGUCGGGGGCUAAGGCGAGGCCGGAAGGCGUAGCCGACGCGCAGCAGGCAGACAUUCCUGCACCGCGCACGCGGCGCUACGACCGACGGGGCGACGGAUGGGGGUGGCUCGGCGGGGUUCUGGACGUCCCCGUGAUGGAGCGCGGCCCGCGGACCAGGGAAAUCCGGUCCGCACGAGGGCGAGGCUCCGGACGAAGCGACUGAGCGAAGCGAGUGAGCCCGAGGUCCCUAGAAAAACCCCUAGGCAGGCGCGUGCGCGCCCGUACCGCAAACCGACACAGGUGGGUGGGUAGAACAUACCGAGGCGAUCGGGUCAACCAUGGUCAAGGAACUCGGCACAAUGGCCCCGUAACUUCGGGAGAAGGGGUGCCCGCGCGUACGUGAACGGACUUGCUCCGGGAGCGGAGGCGGGCCGCAGUGGAGAGGCCCAAGCGACUGUUUACCAAAAACACAGGACUCUGCAGAAGCCGCAAGGCGACGUAUAGGGUCUGACGCCUGCCCGGUGCCGGAAGGUCACGCGGAGGAGUUAGCGCAUCGCGCGAAGCCCCGAAGCCAAGCCCCGGUAAACGGCGGCCGUAACUAUAACGGUCCUAAGGUAGCGAAAUUCCUUGUCGGGUAAGUUCCGACCUGCACGAAAGGCGCAACGACUUGGGCGCUGUCUCGACCAUGGACCCGGUGAAAUUGCACUGGUCGUGAAGAUGCGACUUACCCGCGGAAGGACGGAAAGACCCCGUGAACCUUCACUGCAGCUUGGCAUUGGCCGCUGGUCCCGCGUGUAGAGGAUAGGCAGGAGGCUAAGAUCCGGAGGCGCCAGCCCCCGGGGAGCCGCCCUUGGAAUACUGCCCUCGCGCGACCGGCGUCCUAACCCGAGGCCGUCAACCGGCUCGGGGACCGUGCCAGGCGGGCAGUUUGACUGGGGCGGUCGCCUCCUAAAGGGUAACGGAGGCGCGCGAAGGUCCGCUCGGGACGGUCGGCAACCGUCCUUUUGAAUGCAAGAGUACAAGCGGGCUUGACUGCGAGGCCCACAAGCCGAGCAGGUGCGAAAGCAGGCUCUAGUGAUCCGGCGGCCCCGAGUGGGUGGGCCGUCGCUCAACGGAUAAAAGGUACUCCGGGGAUAACAGGC
rnacentral:rRNA from 1 species